CUCUAGUCCAAUAGGACUGGUAUCCAUGCAAGAAGAGGAAAAAAAACCCAGCACUGUCUCUCUGUGCACACACAGAGAAGAAGCCAUGUGAGGACACAGCAAGAAGGUGUCUGUCUGCAGGGAAGGAAGAGAAGGCUUGCCAGAAACCGCAGCUGCUAGUAUCUGGAUUAUGGAUUUCUGGCCCUCAGAACAUUACAGGAUAUCAAUGGAGGACUGAGAGGACUCAGCUAGAUGAAUGAACUUUCACCUAAAAGGAUUUUGUGGCCCAUUUUUUGAAGAGCGUUAAGAGCCUGGGAAAUUCACCUAACUAAACCUAAUGAAGAAAACCUAUGUUGUUGGUAACCAAAUACUGAGUUGGAGAUCAGAGCUCAGAUUCCUGCUCUAAGUUAUCAGCAAAAGCAUUCUAGGAUAUAUAAGCAGACAAGGAGGGUCUCUAGGAACCAUAGGAGUUUAAUCCACGUGAGCCAUCAGCCUGAUUUACAGCUUCCUGCCCUGCAGCCUGUUCUUCCCUAAACCCUGGGUGGACUAUAGUAACCUAGUUGGUUGAAACCAGCUCCUGACAGACCCUGGCAACUUAGAGAUGAACCCUGGUGAAUCUUCCUCAUGACUGUAACGUCUCCAUCCUGGAGGAACUGUAGUUCCGUUAUCAUAACAUGUAACCCAUGUGUUGCCAUGAUGACACUGUGUCUGCACCGCUGGGACCCCUCAUCUACAUGCGAUAAUGCACCCUCUCCCCUCUCCAUCACCCCAUAAAACCCUCCUGCCACUUUCCCUCAGGGAGACACUGCUUUGGAGAAUACACCCAGUGCUCCCCUUACUUGAGCCAAGUAAUAAAACUCCUAUUGAUCAAAAUCUGCAUUCUCGUGGAGAGUCGUUUGUUGCUUGACAGGUGAAUGAACGCUGUUUGUUUUUUUCGGAUAACAAAUAUGAGGUAUUAAACAAACAAACAAAAAACCCCAGACUUGAAGCUUUCCCAUAAUAACAACAAAGAGUUUGAGUAAGAAUUCCACAGCUUGCCUUCAUCUGUGGCAGACUUGCAUGAAUCAUUUUCAAAUAAAGAUAAUAACUCAGUUGGUCUUGUAGUCCAAACAAAAUGUGCUACUUCAGGAACAUUCACUUCCUAUGUGGACUUUGCUGCUGAGUCAGUGUGAGACCUUGAACAAGUCUCUGUUUGUUUCGUACCAUUCAGAUUUCCUCGUCUGUAAACAUUAAGUAUCUACAUUCACUAAAAGUAGUUCUGAAUGAAUGUUAUUUAAUGGUGCCAAUGAUGUUGGAGGAUACCUGUGCAUCUCAUGCUGUGGUUACAGCAUCAAUUGUGAUGAAUAUAGGAUACUGAGUCCCUCCUAGAAAUGACUUCAGGAACUUCACCCCCCAACUCCACAAUCUGGGAAUGGCAGACAGAUUCAGCACCAGGAGAACAUCACAUAAAGGACAAGUGUGUAUGUUUAAAAAUGGCAAGUUUCGGCCUGGCAUGGUGGCUCACGUCUAUAAUCCCAGCACUUUGGGAGGCUGAGUCUAAGUGUACAGUGCUUGUAAAGUCUGCAGUAGCAUACAGUAAUGUCCAAGGCUUUCACAUCCACUCACCACUCGCUCACUGACCCAGCCAGAGCAACUUCCAGUCCUGAAAGCUGCAUUCAUGCAAGCUUCCCAGGAGAUUCUUAGAUUCCUGCUAACAAAAGGCGGAGACUCACUGGACAGUUACUGAAGAUAGACAGUAGGGGGCGGAAGGGCCCACGCUUCUUUGAUAUUGGUGGCUUUGGUUUUUCAGUGACGGGGGACACUUUGACUUCAG
rnacentral:lncRNA from 1 species